UCAGACACUGCAGGAGAUCAGAGGAGAGUAGACAAUCCAGUGAUUCUCUCCCAGAGAAAUCCAGGAGAGCAGAAAGAGCCCCUCAAGUGAGAGCCAGAGCAGAUGAGGUGACCCCCCAGUGCACAGAAUCCACCAGGAUGUAGACUUCUUGCAGUUUUACCUCAAUACUCCAAAGGGAUGCUGCAUCAGCCAGAGUCUCAGGAGAAAACAGAUGGCUUACUCAAGGUGGUCAUUAAAGAAUUUAAUGAAGGGAUUAUCUUCUAAGGUGUCUGAAUGGCUAACAUAACAAAACUGAACUGGAAGGCAGAGAAAUAAAUAUUCAGCAGAGGUCAAAUUCACAGUGUAAGGAGGCUGACGGUGUUGCUCCAGUUCUGUGGGACUGACCCGUCUGGAUGGUUCCAACCUCACCCUCGGAGACCUCCCUGAGUAUGCUGGGUAAAUGCAUGCCUGUGAUCUGGGGCCGGAUGGGGCUGAGGAUGAAUCAUGGCAUUGAGACCUUGUUGGGGUACCUGUCUGUCUGUUUCUCUCCUGGAGGAGUAAAUAAAUAAACUUAAAAACA